rnacentral:rRNA from 1 species
AUUGAACGCUGGCGGCAGGCCUAACACAUGCAAGUCGAGCGGAUGAAGGGAGCUUGCUCCUGGAUUCAGCGGCGGACGGGUGAGUAAUGCCUAGGAAUCUGCCUGGUAGUGGGGGAUAACGUCCGGAAACGGGCGCUAAUACCGCAUACGUCCUGAGGGAGAAAGUGGGGGAUCUUCGGACCUCACGCUAUCAGAUGAGCCUAGGUAGGAUUAGCUAGUUGGUGGGGUAAAGGCCUACCAAGGCGACGAUCCGUAACUGGUCUGAGAGGAUGAUCAGUCACACUGGAACUGAGACACGGUCCAGACUCCCACGGGAGGCAGCAGUGGGGAAUAUUGGACAAUGGGCGAAAGCCUGAUCCAGCCAUGCCGCGUGUGUGAAGAAGGUCUUCGGAUUGUAAAGCACUUUAAGUUGGGAGGAAGGGCAGUAAGUUAAUACCUUGCUGUUUUGACGUUACCAACAGAAUAAGCACCGGCUAACUUCGUG